GCUGGGUGUGGUGGCGCAUGCCUGUAAUUCCAGCAGCUCAGAAGGCUGAGGCAGGAGGAUCACCAGCCUCAGCGACAGCGAGGCACUAAGCAACUCAGGGAGACCCUGUCUCUA
rnacentral:sRNA from 1 species